UACGGAGGAUGCAAGCGUUAUCCGGAAUGAUUGGGCGUAAAGCGUCCGCAGGUGGCACUUCAAGUCUGCUGUUAAAUACUAGGGCUUAACCCUGGAGCGGCAGUGGAAACUGAAGAGCUAGAGUUCGGUAGGGGUAGAGGGAAUUCCCAGUGUAGCGGUGAAAUGCGUAGAGAUUGGGAAGAACACCAGUGGCGAAAGCGCUCUGCUAGGCCGGGUCUGACACUCAGGGACGAAAGCUAGGGGAGCGAAUGGG
rnacentral:rRNA from 1 species